CCUACGGGAGGCAGCAGUGGGGAAUAUUGCACAAUGGGCGCAAGCCUGAUGCAGCCAUGCCGCGUGUGUGAAUAAGGCCUUCGGGUUGUAAAGCACUUUCAGCGGGGAGGAAGGCGGUGAGGUUAAUAACCUCAUCGAUUGACGUUACCCGCAGAAGAAGCACCGGCUAGCUCCGUGCCAGCAGCCGCGGUAAUACGGAGGGUGCAAGCGUUAAUCGGAAUUACUGGGCGUAAAGCGCACGCAGGCGGUCUGUCAAGUCGGAUGUGAAAUCCCCGGGCUCAACCUGGGAACUGCAUUCGAAACUGGCAGGCUAGAGUCUUGUAGAGGGGGGUAGAAUUCCAGGUGUAGCGGUGAAAUGCGUAGAGAUCUGGAGGAAUACCGGUGGCGAAGGCGGCCCCCUGGACAAAGACUGACGCUCAGGUGCGAAAGCGUGGGGAGCAAACAGGAUUAGAUACCCGUGUAGUC
rnacentral:rRNA from 1 species